GGCGAAGGUGAGGUGGAGUGUGUCCUGGGCCGGGGCAGGUCCCGGUUGGGAGAAGGACGUCGGAUCUCGUCCUCCCAGCUUUUCGACCCUUCCCCGAAGCCCCUCAAUAAAAUGGCUUGAUCCCA